rnacentral:rRNA from 1 species
UACGGAGGGUGCAAGCGUUAAUCGGAAUUACUGGGCGUAAAGGGCACGCAGGCGGUUAAUUAAGUUAGAUGUGAAAGCCCCGGGCUUAACCUGGGAAUAGCAUUUAAGACGUGGUGAGCUGGAGUCUUGUAGAGGGGGGUAGAAUUCCACGUGUAGCGGUGAAAUGCGUAGAGAUGUGGAGGAAUACCGGUGGCGAAGGCGGCCCCCUGGACAAAGACUGACGCUCAGGUGCGAAAGCGUGGGGAGCAAACAGG